rnacentral:rRNA from 1 species
ACAGGUGCUGCGAUGGCGUGUCGUCAGCUCGUGUCGUGAGAUGUUGGGUUAAGUCCCGCAACGAGCGCAACCCUUAUCAUUAGUUGCUACGCAAGGGCACUCUAAUGAGACUGCCGGUGACAAACCGGAGGAAGGUGGGGAUGACGUCAAGUCCUCAUGGCCCUUAUGGGUAGGGCUUCACACGUCAUACAAUGGUCGGUACAGAGGGUUGCCAAGCCGCGAGGCGGAGCCAAUCCCACAAAGCCGAUCGUAGUCCGGAUUGUUCUCUGCAACUCGAGAGCAUGAAGUCGGAAUCGCUAGUAAUCGCAGGUCAGCAUACUGCGGUGAAUACGUUCCCGGGUCUU